rnacentral:rRNA from 1 species
GACGAACGCUGGCGGCGUGCCUAAUACAUGCAAGUUGAGCGCUGAAGGUUGGUCCUUGUACCAACUGGAUGAGCAGCGAACGGGUGAGUAACGCGUGGGGAAUCUGCCUUUGAGCGGGGGACAACAUUUGGAAACGAAUGCUAAUACCGCAUAAAAACUUUAAACACAAGUUUUAAGUUUGAAAGAUGCAAUUGCAUCACUCAAAGAUGAUCCCGCGUUGUAUUAGCUAGUUGGUGAGGUAAAGGCUCACCAAGGCGAUGAUACAUAGCCGACCUGAGAGGGUGAUCGGCCACAUUGGGACUGAGACACGGCCCAAACUCCUACGGGAGGCAGCAGUAGGGAAUCUUCGGCAAUGGACGAAAGUCUGACCGAGCAACGCCGCGUGAGUGAAGAAGGUUUUCGGAUCGUAAAACUCUGUUGGUAGAGAAGAACGUUGGUGAGAGUGUAAAGCUCAUCAAGUGACGGUAACUACCCAGAAAGGGACGGCUAACUACGUG